UGGUGGUUAUUCCAGUGGAAUAGGACUGAAGUAGGCAACAUCUUUAAGAGAUUGAAGACUAUGGAGGCUACUAUCACAGAGCUAUAGGAGUGCGAAGAUCGGGAUGGUGGUCUAGCUAAUUAUGAGUUGGCUAACAUUUGGAGCAGACUCUCAGAGCAUCACUCCCUUUUGAGAUAGCAAGAGAUCUUAUGGAGGUAGUGGAGUG
rnacentral:lncRNA from 1 species